GCAAGUCGAGCGAACGGACGAGAGUGCUUGCACUCUCUGAUGUUAGCGGCGGACGGGUGAGUAACACGUGGGUAACCUACCUAUAAGACUGGGAUAACUUCGGGAAACCGGAGCUAAUACCGGAUAAUAUUUAGCUUCGCAUGAAGCAAUAGUGAAAGACGGUUCUGCUGUCACUUAUAGAUGGACCCGCGGUGUAUUAGCUAGUUGGUGAGGUAACGGCUCACCAAGGCAACGAUACAUAGCCGACCUGAGAGGGUGAUCGGCCACACUGGGACUGAGACACGGCCCAGACUCCUACGGGAGGCAGCAGUAGGGAAUCUUCCGCAAUGGACGAAAGUCUGACGGAGCAACGCCGCGUGAGUGAAGAAGGUUUUCGGAUCGUAAAACUCUGUUGUAAGGGAAGAACAAGUACGUUAGUAACUGAACGUACCUUGACGGUACCUUACCAGAAAGCCACGGCUAACUACGUGCCAGCAGCCGCGGUAAUACGUAGGUGGCAAGCGUUAUCCGGAAUUAUUGGGCGUAAAGCGCGCGUAGGCGGUCUCUUAAGUCUGAUGUGAAAGCCCCCGGCUCAACCGGGGAGGGUCAUUGGAAACUGGGAGACUUGAGUGCAGAAGAGGAGAGUGGAAUUCCAUGUGUAGCGGUGAAAUGCGCAGAGAUAUGGAGGAACACCAGUGGCGAAGGCGGCUCUCUGGUCUGUAACUGACGCUGAGGUGCGAAAGCGUGGGGAUCAAACAGGAUUAGAUACCCUGGUAGUCCACGCCGUAAACGAUGAGUGCUAAGUGUUGGGGGGGGUUUCCGGCCCCUCAGUGCUGCAGCUAACGCAUUAAGCACUCCGCCUGGGGGAGUACGGUCGCAAGACUGAAACUCAAAGGAAUUGACGGGGACCCGCACAAGCGGUGGAACCAUGUGGUUUAAUUCGAAGCAACGCGAAGAAACCUUACCAAAUCUUGACAUCCUUUGACAACUCUAGAGAUAGAGCUUUCCCCUUCGGGGGACAAAGUGACAGGUGGUGCAUGGUUGUCGUCAGCUCGUGUCGUGAGAUGUUGGGUUAAGUCCCGCAACGAGCGCAACCCUUAUCUUUAGUUGCCAUCAUUAGGUUGGGCACUCUAGAGAGACUGCCGGUGACAAACCGGAGGAAGGUGGGGAUGACGUCAAAUCAUCAUGCCCCUUAUGAUUUGGGCUACACACGUGCUACAAUGGAUGGUACAAAGGGCAGCAAAACCGCGAGGUCAAGCAAAUCCCAUAAAACCAUUCUCAGUUCGGAUUGUAGUCUGCAACUCGACUACAUGAAGCUGGAAUCGCUAGUAAUCGUAGAUCAGCAUGCUACGGUGAAUACGUUCCCGGGUCUUGUACACACCGCCCGUCACACCACGAGAGUUUGUAACACCCGAAGCCGGUGGA
rnacentral:rRNA from 1 species